UACGUAGGAGACGAGCGUUGUCCGGAGUUAUUGGGCGUAAAGAGCUCGUAGGCGGCCUGUUGCGUCCGCUGUGAAAGCCCGGGGCUUAACCCCGGGCCUGCAGUGGGUACGGGCAGACUAGAGUGCGGUAGGGGAGACUGGAAUUCCUGGUGUAGCGGUGAAAUGCGCAGAUAUCAGGAGGAACACCGGUGGCGAAGGCGGGUCUCUGGGCCGUAACUGACGCUGAGGAGCGAAAGCGUGGGGAGCGAACAGG
rnacentral:rRNA from 1 species